ACUUGAGGCUAGGAAAGUUAUAUGACUGGGAAUACUUUUGCAUUUCUUUUUGAUAAUCUUUGGAGAAAAUUGAUGGGGGAUAACUGUCCAUUUGGGGCUGUUCAAUGAUUAUUUUUGGUUUCCUACAUGCAGAUAUCUCAAAAAGGGAUCAUUGCAUCUGCCUGCUCCCUUCAAUUGCUGUCAUAAUUUCUUUGUUCAGUGAAAAGAAUAGAUGGCUUAGGACAGAAUUCUCAAUGGAUGAAGAGGUGGAUUGAGAAUUUUCCAAGGGCUCUCAUACAGUGGACAGAAUGGAUAGUACAGCCAUCUGGAGUUCCAGCACCAAUUGGCACAAAGCACAGAAUUUGGGGAUGGAGUGUCUGAGAAGGUCUUCAAGUCGCGGUUGGCUCGUAAGAUGGAGAAGUUUACAGCUGGUGGCGGUGAGGGGAAGAGCAAGAGGAGCAUGUGGGAGUGGGACUAUGAGAGCUUUGUGGAUGUUUCGAAGAGGGCGAUGAUGGGGAGGUCAGGAAGCAGCAGCAGAAGGUGGUUUGGGAGGUGCUCUUUUCCAUGCAGCACCCUGGUGCUCCAUCUCAGAUCUGCAUUGAAUUCACAUAUAUUGGAUUGCUACAACUCACCAACUUCAGUAAUAAGAGAAAGCAGAAGACUGUGAAAUUCUUGGAGUGACUAAACUUAGUUGAAAUUAUUUCUUGGUGCCUAGAUAAUUGAUAAAAUAGAAUAGAGACCACAUCACCUGGAAUCAGUCUAAUACCAAAUAGAUGUUCCAAUGAGACUUGCCAUUGUUAUUUAUUCUUUUAUUUGUGUGGAUGCAGUUUCAGAAAUUGUUUCCACCAAACAAUUGGGCAGCUAAGUUAUAGAGCUUGGAUGCCUUUAAGUGAUAAGAAGAUACCUAAGUAGUAUUGGAUGCAUCUUAAGAAGAAAAAUACCUCUAAAGUUUGUCAUGGAAAGGGAAACCUUUGUCCUUAUGAGGAAGAAUUAUGCUCAUUAAUUCUGUAUUAACAGCCAAGUCUUCUUACUUAGGGUCUAUACUUGAGUUACCAAGAUGGGUUGCUAACAGGAUUGAUCAAAUGAGACAUGCUUUUCUAUGAAAAGGGAAGGAAAGUAUCAGUGAAUUCCGUGCAAAGGAAGAAGUAUGAAAAGGGAGUCUGGGUCCAAAGAAUAUUAGAAACAUUAAUCUCGCUUUGUUAGCAAAAUAGGCUUGGAAGCUAAUUAAAGGGUUGGAUGCACCUAGAAGAAAUCAAAUCAAGUUCUUAUUAUGCUAGAAGGAAGCUUAGUGUGCAUGUUAGAAGAUCCUUGGUCAAUUUUUCACCUAUUUGGAAGGACAAUAGGAAAGAAGUUGAAGCCUUUUGGAAUUGUACUCCUUUUAGCAGAGUUAACAUCCAUUUUUGGUAAAACUCUUGGGUUGGAUCUAUGCUGUUGUCUGCUCUCUUUGAAGAUCUUUGUUGCAGAGUUGUAAAGGCUAAUACCCGUUGCACUAAUGGAACUAGAGAUCCUUGACAUGGAACAUAAGAUUGCAAGGUCUGCUUUUCCUUCAUGAACCAAGAUAGCUAUAAAUUAUGGAGGAUCUCCUAUUCCCAUUAAACCAUCUAGAAUAGCAGACUUAUCGGUGCGGAGCCUUACAGAGAGUGGUAGUUUUACUACUGACUUCUACUACAAGUUCAUCAAUAACAUGGUAUUCUUUACCCUUACUACAAAACAAUCUGGAAGAGAAAGUUAAAAUGUUCCUGUGGCUUGCCUUGGAGAAUAUAUUGCAUACUGGAGAUGCUUUUGUGAAAAAGGUUGGAUGGUCAGCUCAAGUUGCCCAUUGUAUCGUAAAAUUUCUUAACUGCCCGUUUACUAGAAGCAUUUGGUCCUCAUUGAACUCAUGUUCGAAAUUGAAUUAUUGGCCUCCUGAUCUUCAUGCCCUUUGGACAACCUGGAGAUGAAAGAAAAUCAAAUUGUUGCUGAGGAGGGCUUGUGAUCAACUUCUUAUGGCACUGCAUCGACAAGUACUUGGAGACCCAGUGGAUGUGUUGGAAUGGCUGUGACUAUUUGCAAGAAUGCAAACCAAGAUUUCUUUACCAAUGAAUUUGGACUUCCCUUAACCAUGAACCCCAAAUUUUGAGGACAUGAGUUGUGACAUGGUGUAUGGUGAAGUACCUCUUCCUUUUGAAGAGGAUCAUCUUUCAAAGUAGCCUUGCUAUGUUGACGUGUGUAUGUUAAAUAUUUAUGAUAAAUUAAACAGUAAUAUGAUCCUCCUGUACUUCCUAACCAUGAGUUCCACAGCUUCUAUGGCCAAUCCCAGCUCCACUGUUUGCCCUAAACUUGAAAAAGAUCAGGAACCUAACUCAAACUUCUGAGACAACCAAGAGCAUUGUAUCAUUACUUCUUCAGGGUUAUUGACAAUGGCUUUUGUUUUGUCAUAGCUGGUAAAAAGUCCUGCAUCAUGCAGUUGCUUGGAAAAGCUCCCAUCUGGUAGGAAUUGUUUAACUCCUGUUUGUAUUGCAACACAAAGUGUAUAUGUUCACAGUCUACUUUAGUCAAAAUUUUAUCUUUACUAAUUACUGCAU